CAAUAGCGUAUAUUUAAGUUGCUGCAGUUAAAAAGCUCGUAGUUGGAUUUCGGGUGGGAAUGGCCGGUCCGCCGUUUCGGUGUGCACUUGCUACGCCCACCUUGCUGCCGGGGACGUGCUCUUGAGUUCACGCUCGGGACACGGAGUCGGCGAGGUUACUUUGAGUAAAUUAGAGUGUUCAAAGCAGGCCUACGCUCUGAAUACAUUAGCAUGGAAUAACACGAUAGGACUCUGGCCUAUCUUGUUGGUCUGUAGGACCGGAGUAAUGAUAAAGAGGGACAGUCGGGGGCAUUCGUAUUUCAUUGUCAGAGGUGAAAUUCUUGGAUUUAUGAAAGACGAACUACUGCGAAAGCAUUUGCCAAGGAUGUUUUCAUUAA
rnacentral:rRNA from 1 species